CUCCACAGAGUGGAACUCCUGUCAUCUCAUCAUGUCAACAAACAGUAGGCAGUAGGCUGCUGCUGAAGCAGUGAGGUCACAGGGAGACAAUAUAGCCAGCCCAGGAUUGGACUUAGCUCACCCACGCUCUGCAACGCGUCCCUCUGUAUGCGGGUAACCAUGACUACCGUCUGCCAGGGCUGCACUCUCAACAGCUCCCUGGCUCCCACAAUCAGGGCAGCUGAAAGACAGCAGUAGGGACAGAGCUAUUGAACAAGAGAGGUGUUUGAACAGCAAGGUAAGAGACAGCUUCUCAUAUGGUAUACUUACUCACUGAAGAUUCUGUUUUCUGGUUAUGUAAGUAUUUUGAAAAUGUUUAUUUGGCCAUUCUAAAGUAUUAGUUACUACUUUGUGUGCUUAACAGUAGGCCACAUGUGAACUGUAUGUAGAUGGAAUACAUUUACUCAGUUUACAGAAGGUUAAUUCACACAGAAAACAUUUAUAAUGCGUCCACAUUUGUUUUCCUUGUAAGGUUUUUUUUAUUUUGAAUUCUAUUUGACUGCAACACAAACACAAGGCAUUUGGAGUCCAGUCAGUGGUGUUAUAAUUAACUGCACUGCAUUGUUAAAGAUUGGGUGUGAACUCAGAGCAGAACAAACAAACACUGGAAAAGUCAAGGCAUGUUUUUCCAUGAAUAGUCGUAAUAAUAGCAGACUACGAACUGCCACUAACAUGAGACUCAAUCAAUCCUUGUCCCCUUUUUCCACCCUCUGGUCAGGGCCUGUGGAUUCAGUCUGUGACGGAUGGACUUGGCCCAGCUAUGGGUGGGUGAGGACCGCGGCCUCUCCCACGUGAAAGGCAGUGAUGACUGGGGUGAUGAGUUAGGAGGACUGAGUGUUAAACCCUUCAGUCAUUCCCUCAUCCCGCUCAGAGACUCUAGUCCACUCGUCCUCGCCGAUCUGGACAUGUGGGACAGCAGGUCUCACUUUAAAUCUCAGUCCUCAGCAUGGAGUCUGGCAUGUAUGACUGGAGGGUUCCUCUCCAAAAUGAGCACCAGCACCUCCGCUAAUGGCAGAGAUGGUGGCUUUAGCAGACAGAGUGACCCAGGUCUGGGUAAAAGAAGAUGGCAGUCGAUGUCUCGCCUGGCCCCUGAGGGUGCCCCCCGGUCCCUCUCCCCUGUCUCCCCAGGGGUUGAGCUGAGAGCAGCCCUGGAAGAGAGUGGCUUUAGGCGGGCAGAGCUGGUGCAGAGGCUGCGGGAGGCCCAUGGACGUCUUGACAGCCAGACAGACCUGCUGAAGAACAGAGACACACAGCUGCAGCAUAGUAGUAGUACUGCACAGCUGCUGGAGAUGAAACACAAGCAGCUGGCAGAUGCAGUGAGUGCUCUUGAGCAAGAGAAGGAGGCAGCUGAGUUGAGCCGGUUUGAGGAAAGCCGACGUCGAGGAGAACUGCAAGACAAGGUUCUUCAACUGGAGAUGGACAUGUUGAAGAUGAGAUCGUCUCUUGAGAGAGGGAGUGUUAUCAAACCUGCGGCCCCAAGAACUAACAACAACCCACUCAGCAGGACCUUACCUGUUACACAGGUAGACUUCUUCAGAGAGGGGAAGCAAAAGGCAGAGAGAGAGCUGUCCAGACUGAGAGAAGCCCUCAGAGAGGCCGAGGAGAGAGCAGAGGCCCUGGAGACAGAGAGAGACCUUCAGCAACUACACACCUCUAAAGAGGCUCAGAGGACAGUUUUGAGCCAGACAGAGGAAGUGAACCAGAGAUUGGGUCGUGCCUUGCAGACCCACAGUGAGCUGCAGGACCAGCUGAGUGAGACACGCAUUAAGCUGGGUCAGGCCACUCUGGAGAGGGACCUUCUGACGACCAAGGUGUUGCGGCUGGAGGACAGUGUGGAGGACCUGAAGAUCAAGCUGACCGGGGCCAUGUCUGACAAGGACCGCUUACUGCAGGAGAAGGCAGACCUGCACCAGCACGCUCAGGAUCUGGAGCUGCAGUUGGAGAGGGCCCAGAGAGGCAGGGAAGGCUACACAGACCAGGUGUGUGAGCUCAGCAACCAGCUGGCUGAGGCCAAGGCCCAAACCAACAGGCAGGGGCAGGAGACUGUGCAGAUGAAGCAGGAUCUUCUGACUGUGACAGAGAUGAAUGAAAAGAUGACAUCAGAGCUGGAGAUGGUCAAACAGAGGCUGGAGUCCUCAUUGGCUCAGCUGCAUGAGCUGGGGGCGGAGAGAGUCAUCCACACCAAUCAGAUCGCAGCUCUGGAGACGGAGCGCUCGCAGCUGAUUGGAGAGAAGGAGGAGUUAACGAGUGCUAUUGGACGGGAUGGAAGACAGGAGGAGGAAGUGACAGAGUUGAGGGAGAGUUGUUGUCAGCUCAGUGAAUCCCAGGAUGCCUUGGAGUCAGAGAACCAGAGGCUGCACGAAUGCUGCCUGAAGUUGGAGGCGGAGCUCCUGGAAAAGGAGGAGGGGCUGUGUCAGAAGGGGGAGGAGCUGCAGCGGUUGGAGGCUGAGUCGGCUCAGAACAUGGAGGAGCUUAGGGGUGUGGCCUCACACUGGAGCGAGAAGUGGCAAGAUGUGGCUAUGGCAUUACAAUCCACCCAGGCAGAACUAGAGGAACUCAGAGAGAAGAACCCUGGAGAUACACUUCAAGAGGAGGUGGUACGGCUGAAGGUGGAGGUUGAGAGACUUCAGACAGAGGGACAGAGAGACAAGGAAGAGAUUCAGACUCUUCAUCUGCACAGGGCCAGUAAAGACGCAGAGCUGAGCGGAGUCAUUAAAGAUGCUGGCUCUCUGCUGAAGGUAGAGCUGGACGCUUGUAAACAACAGUUGGAGCUGGAGAGGAGUCGGAGUCAGGCUCUACACAACAGACUCAAAGUUAAAGGCAACCCUCAUAUCUUGGGUAGGGGAACGGUAGAAACGUUUGAUAAAGGGACAGAGACAGAUAUACCACCACAGACACGGGAUGAACAGGUCUCGCUGGAGGAGCUGGGACAGGUGUCACAGCUAAAUAGUGAACUUCAGAGGCUGGAGCUGGAAGUGGCAGAGCGAGAGCAGCAGCUGAGGGAGAAGGAACAUGCUCUGAGGAGUCUGGAGAGACUGAGAGAUGCCGAGAAGACAGAGGCACAAAUCAAGGUUUCUACACUGGAGUUGAAGUUGAUUAACCUAAAGGAGCAGGCCGGUGGAGAAGGUCAAUGUAAUGGAGGUCAAGAAAAAAUGCAGCACACUGACUCAUUGAGGUCUCAGCUAGAGGAGAGCAGGAGGAGAGCCAAUCAGCUGCAACAGGAGAGAGACCAGGCAGUUCAGAGGCUACAGACUCUACGCCAGCUACAUCAGGCUACAGAACAGAAAGCAGCUGCUGGCAGCAAGAAAGAGAAAACGGUUUGUGUGGAUAACAUAGUGAACCAGGAUCAACAGAGAAGACUGGUGACAGAACAGCUGAAGAGUCUAUUUAAGGAGCGUGAGCAGUUGGGUCAGGUCUAUGGCAGAUCAGCAGGAGGAGGAGGAGGUCUGCAAGACUGGGCACCGAAGUCGAAGGUCAUCAAGGUAAACUCAGAUGUGUUUCUUGUAAGUGAGAGUGGAGAGGGGUUGAGCCAAUAUGAAAGCUGGGAAGGAUCAGAACAGAUACUGAAGUUCAGUUGAGGCCAUUAACAGUAGUGUAUAUGUAGUAGGUUUUUGUAAUAGGUAUACAGUCGUGGCCAAAAGUUUUGAGAAUGACACAAAUAUUGAUUUUCACAAAGUUUGCUGCUUCAGUGUCUUUAGAUAUUUUGUCAGAUGUUACUAUGGAAUACUUGUCACGCUCUGACCUAGGAGAGCUGUGUUGUUCUGUUUAAUUAGGUCAGGGUGUGAUAGAUGGGUGGGCAUUCUAUGUUUUUGUUUUCUAUGUUUUGGCCAGGUAUGGUUUCCAAUCAGAGGCAGCUGUCUAUCGUUGUCUCUGAUUGGAAGCCAAACUUAGGCAGCCUGUUUUUCCUGUGUUGGUGUGGGUAGUUGUUUUCCGUUUUGUAAGUACCUGACGGAACUGUUGGCUGUUGUUUUCUGUUUAAGUGUCAUCAUUCAAGUAUUAUGAGCACUCUACACGCUGUGCCUUGGUCCCCUUUAUACGACCCUCGUUACAAUACUGAAGUAUAAUUACAAGCAUUUCAUGUGUCAAAGGCUUUUAUUGACAAUUACAUGAAGUUGAUGCAAAGAGUCAAUAUUUGCAGUGUUGACCCUUCUUUUUCAAGACCUCUGCAAUCUGCCCUGGCAUGCUGUCAAUUAACUUCUGGCCACAUCCUGACUGAUGGCAGCCCAUUCUUGCAUAAUCAAUGCUUGGAGUUUGUCAGAAUUUGUGGGGUUUUGUUUGUCCACCCUCCUCUUGAGGAUUGACCACAAGUUCUCAAUGGGAUUAAGGUCUGGGGAGUUUCCUGGCCAUGGACCCAAAAUGUUGAUGUUUUGUUCACCGAGCCACUUAGUUAUCACUUUUGCCUUAUGGCAAGGUGCUCCAUCAUGCUGGAAAAGGCAUUGUUCGUCACCAAACUGUUCCUGGAUGGUUGGGAGAAGUUGCUCUCGGAGGAUGUGUUGGUACCAUUCUUUAUUCAUGGCUGUGUUCUUAGGCAAAAUUGUGAGNNNNNNNNNNNNNNNNNNNNNNNNNNNNNNNNNNNNNNNNNNNNNNNNNNNNNNNNNNNNNNNNNNNNNNNNNNNNNNNNNNNNNNNNNNNNNNNNNNNNNNNNNNNNNNNNNNNNNNNNNNNNNNNNNNNNNNNNNNNNNNNNNNCAUCAGAGAAAAUGACUUUACCCCAGUCCUCAGCAGUCCAAUCCCUGUACCUUUUGCAGAAUAUCAGUCUGUCCCUGAUGUUUUUCCUGGAGAGAAGUGGCUUCUUUGCUGCCCUUCCUGACACCAGGCCAUCCUCCAAAAGUCUUCGCCUCACUGUGCGUGCAGAUGCACUCACACCUGCCUGCUGCCAUUCCUGAGCAAGCUCUGUACUGGUGGUGCCCCGAUCCCGCAUCUGAAUCAACUUUAGGAGACAAUGCCAAUCAAUUUAUAACAUUUUUGACAUGCGUUUUUCUGGAUUUUUUGUUGUUAUUCUGUCUCUCACUGUUCAAAUAAAUCUACCAUUAUAAUUAUAGACUGAUCAUUUCUUUGUCAGUGGGCAAAUGUACAAAAUCAGCAGGGGAUCAAAUACUUUUUUCCCUCACUGUAUAUAGAUAUACAGUUGAAGUCGGAAGUUUACAUACACUUAGGUUGGAGUCAUUAAAACUAGUUUUUCAACCACUCCACAAAUUUCUUGUUAACAAACUAUAGUUUUGGCAAGUCGGUUAGGACAUCUACUUUGUGCAUUACACAAGUAAUUUUUCCAACAAUUUUUUACAGACAGAUUAUUUCACUUAUUCCAUUGGGUCAGAAGUUUACAUACACUAAGUUGACUGUGCCUUUAAACAGCUUUGAAAAUUCCAGAAAAUUAUGUCAUGGCUUUAGAAGCUUCUGAUAAGCUAAUUGACAUCAUUUGAGUCAAUUGGAGGUGUACCUGUGGAUGUAUUUCAAGGCCUACCUUCAAACUCAGUGCCUCUUUGCUUGACAUCAUGGGAAAAUCAAAAGAAAUCAGCCAAGACCUCAGGUGGGAGCAAUUUCCAAACGCCUGAAGGUACCACGUUCAUCUGUACAAACAAUAGUACGCAAGUAUAAACACCAUGGGACCACGUAGCCGUCAUACCGCUCAGGAGGGAGACACGUUCUGUCUCCUAGAGAUGAACGUACUUUGGUGCGAAAAGUGCAAAUCAAUCCCAGAACAACAGCAAAGGACCUUGUGAAGAUGCUGUAGGAAACGGGUACAAAAGUAUCUAUAUCCACAGUAAAACGAGUCCUAUAUCGACAUAACCUGAAAGGCCGCUCAGCAAGGAAGAAGCUACUGCUCCAAAACUGCAAUAAAAAGCCAGACUACGGUUUGCAACUGCACAUGGGGACAAAGAUCGUACUUUUUGGAAAAAUGUCCUCUGGUCUGAUGAAACAAAAAUAGAACUGUUUGGCCAUAAUGACCAUCGUUAUGUUCGGAAGAAAAAGGGGGAGGCUUGCAAGCCGAAGAACACCAUCCCAAUCGUGAAGCACGGGGGUGGCAGCAUUAUGUUGUGGGGGUGCUUUGCUGCAGGAGGGACUGGUGCACUUCACAAAAUAGAUAGCAUCAUGAGGAUGGAAAAUUAUAUGGAUAUAUUGAAGCAACAUCUCAAGACAUCAGUCAGGAACUUAAAGCUUGGUUGCAAAUGGGUCUUCCAAAUGGACAAUGACCACAAGCAUACUUCCAAAGUUGUGGCAAAAUGGCCUAAGGACAAUAACGUCAAGGUAUUGGAGUGCUCAUCAGAAAGCCCUGAUCUCAAUCCUAUAGAAAAUUUGUGGUCAGAACUGAAAAGGUGUGUGCGAACAAGGAGGCCUACAAACCUGAUUCAGUUACACCAGCUCUGUCAGGAGGAAUGGGUCAAAAUUCACCCAAUUUAUUGUGGGAAGCUUGUGGAAGGAUACCUGAAACGUUUGACCCAAGUUAAACAAUUUAUUAAAGGAAAUGCUACCAAAUACUAAUUGAGUGUAUGUAAACUUCUGACCCACUGGGAAUGUGAUGAAAGAAAUAAAAGCUGAAAUAAAUCAUUCUCUCUACUAUUAUUCUGACAUUUCACAUUCUUAAAAUAAAGUUGUGAUCCUAACUGACCUAAAACAGGGAAUUUUUACGUGGAUUAAAUGUCAGGAAUUGUGAAAAACUAAGUUUAAAUGACUUUGGCUAAGGUGUAUGUAAACUUCCGACUUCAACUGUAUCUAGCAGGUAUAUGUAGUAGGUAUAUGUAGCAGGUAUAUGUAGCAGGUAUAUGUAGCAGGUAUAUGUAGCAUCUAUAUGUAGCAGGGAUAUGUAGUAGGUAUAUGUAGCAGGUAUAUGUAGUAGGUAUAUGUAGCUGGUAUAUGUAGUAGGUGUAUGUAGCAGGUAUAUGUAGCAGGUAUAUGUAGUAGGUAUAUGUAGCAGGUAUAUGUAGCAUCUAUAUGUAGUAGGUAUAUGUAGUAGGUAUAUGUAGCAGGUAUAUGUAGCAGGUAUAUGUAGCAGGUACAUGUAGCAGGUAAUUGUAGCAGGUAAUUGUAGCAGGUAAAUGUAGCAGGUAUAUGUAGCAGGUAUAUGUAGCACGUAUAUGUAGCAGGUAUAUGUAGCAGGUAUAUGUAGUAGGUAUAUGUAGUAGGUAUAUGUAGUAGGUAUAUGUAACAGGUAUAUGUAGUAGGUAUAUGUAGCAGGUAUAUGUAGCAGGUACAUGUAGCAGGUACAUGUAGCAGGUACAUGUAGCAGGUACAUGUAGUAGGUAUUUGUAGUAGGUGUAUGUAGCAGGUGUAUGUAGCAGGUGUAUGUAGCAGGUAUAUGUAGCAUGUAUAUGUAGCAGGUAUAUGUAGCAUCCUUAUCAUUUAUCGCCCUCCAGGUUCCCUUGGAGAGUUCAUCAAUGAGCUUGACGCCUUGAUAAGUUCCUUUCCUGAGGAUGGCUCACCUCUCACAGUUCUGGGUGACUUUAACCUCCCCACGUCUACCUUCGACUCAUUCCUCUCUGCCUCCUUCUUUCCACUCCUCUCCUCUUUCGACCUCACCCUCUCACCUUCCCCCCCUACUCACAAGGCAGGCAAUACGCUUGACCUCAUCUUUACUAGAUGCUGUUCUUCCACUAAUCUCAUUGCAACUCCCCUCCAAGUCUCCGACCACUACCUUGUAUCCUUUUCCCUCUCGCUCUCAUCCAACACUUCUCACUCUCCCCCUACUCGGAUGGUAUUGCGCCGUCCCAACCUUCGCUCUCUCUCUCCCGCUACUCUCUCCUCUUCCAUCCUAUCAUCUCUUCCCUCUGCUCAAACCUUCUCCAACCUAUCUCCUGAUUCUGCCUCCUCAACCCUCCUCUCCUCCCUCUCUGCAUCCUUUGAUUUCCUCUGUCCCCUAUCCUCCAGGCCGGCUUGGUCCUCCCCUCCUGCUCCGUGGCUCGACGACUCACUGCGAGCUCACAGAACAGGGCUCCGGGCAGCCGAGCGGAAAUGGAGGAAAACUCGCCUCCCUGCGGACCUGGCAUCCUU
rnacentral:lncRNA from 8 species